rnacentral:rRNA from 1 species
UACAGAGGGGGCAAGCGUUGUUCGGAAUUACUGGGCGUAAAGGGCGCGUAGGCGGCCUUCUAAGUCGAACGUGAAAUCCCCGGGCUCAACCCGGGAACUGCGUCCGAUACUGGAAGGCUUGAAUCCGGGAGAGGGAUGCGGAAUUCCAGGUGUAGCGGUGAAAUGCGUAGAUAUCUGGAGGAACACCGGUGGCGAAGGCGACAUCCUGGACCAACACUGACGCUGAGGAGCGAAAGCCAGGGGAGCAAACGGG